GACGAACCGAGCGAACGUUGUUCGGAAUAACUGGGCUUAAAGGGCGCGUAGGCGGGCUGUCAAGUCUGGGGUGAAAUCCCGCGGCUCAACCGUGGAACUGCCUCAGAUACUGACGGUCUCGAGGGAGGUAGGGGGGCGAGCGGAACUGUGAGUGGAGCGGUGAAAUGCGUUGAUAUUCACAGGAACUCCGGUGGCGAAGGCGGCAUCCUGGACCAAUUCUGACGCUGAGGAGCGAAAGCCAGGGGAGCAAACGGG
rnacentral:rRNA from 1 species